UACGUAGGGCGCAAGCGUUGUCCGGAAUUAUUGGGCGUAAAGAGCUCGUAGGCGGCUUGUCACGUCGGGUGUGAAAGCCCGGGGCUUAACCCCGGGUCUGCAUUCGAUACGGGCUAGCUAGAGUGUGGUAGGGGAGAUCGGAAUUCCUGGUGUAGCGGUGAAAUGCGCAGAUAUCAGGAGGAACACCGGUGGCGAAGGCGGAUCUCUGGGCCAAUACUGACGCUCAUGCACGAAAGCGUGGGGAGCAAACAGG
rnacentral:rRNA from 1 species